rnacentral:lncRNA from 1 species
AUCUGCCCCAUAGCCCCCCAUAUACCCCAUAGCCCCCCGCCUUAUUCUGUCCCCAUAGCCGCCCUAAAUACCCCAUAGCCCCCCCAUCUGCCCCCUAUUACCCCAAAUACCCCAUAGCCCCCUCUUAUCUGCCUCUAUUAGCUCCAUAUACCCCACUACCCCCCCAAAGCUUACCCCCAUAGCCCCCCAUCUGCCCCAUAGCCCCCCCCAAAUACCCCAUAGCCCCCCCAAGCUACCCCCUAUUACCCCCCAUAUAUCCCAUAGCCCCCUAUCUGCCCCAUAGCCCCCCCUAUCUGCCCCAUAGCCCCCUAUCUGCCCCAUAGCCCCCCAUAUACCCCAUAGCCCCCCAUCUGCCCCCUAUUGUGCCCCAUAGACCCUGUUAUUUGCCCCUUACCCCCCCAUCUGCCCCCUAUGUGCCCCAUAGCCCCCUGUAUUUGCCCCAUAGCCCCCAUCUGCCCCAUAGCCCCCCACUUUAACCCAGAGCCAACCCAAUCUCCCCUAUGUGCCCCAUAGCCCCCCCAUAUUACCCAUGUCCCCCUAUUCCUGCCCCCUAUUGCCCCCUCAAAUACCCCACAGACCCCCCCAAAUACCCCAUGCCCCCCAUAUCUACCCCAUAGCCCCCCCAUAUACCCCAUAGCCCCCCCCAUAUACCCCAUAGCCCCUCUUAUCUGCCCCAUAUUACCCCCCAUAUACCCCUAGCCCCCCCAUAUACCCAUAGCCCCCCAGAGGCCCCCUCGAAACCCAUAGCCCCCCCAUCUGCCCCCUAUUGCCCCCCAUACACCCCUAGCCCCCCAUAUCUACCCCAUACCCCCCCAUCCUGCCCCCUAACUGCCCCAUAUCCCCUAUCUGCCCCUAUUUAUCCCCCAUUACGCCCAUAGCCCCCCCAUAUACCCCAUAGCCCCCCAUAGACCCCUCAAAUUACGCCUAGCCCCCCCAUCUUUGCCCCCUAUUGGCCCCCCAUACACCCAUAGCCCCCCAUACUCUCCCAUCUGCCCCCAUCUCCCCCUAACUGGCCCCAACUCCCCCUAUCUGCCCCUAUUACCCCCCAUAUACCCCCCAUAGCCCCCCUAUGUGCCCCAUACCCCCUAUCUGCCUAUAUCCCCCAUCUGCCCCUAUUGCCCCCCAUACACCCCAUACCCCCUACCCCCCCAUCUGCCCCCUAUCUGGCCCAUAGCCCCCCCCUAUUACCCCACUA